CCUUUCUCGAAAACACUGCGAAGGCUGCCGGAAGCGUGGUUGUUCCUUUCGCGAGUUGGUGUCUGGCGCACAGCGCGAACGUCUCAUGAGCAAUAAGCCGUAGAGACGAUGCUCUCAAUGUUGGACACCGAAGUGAGGCAACUCAUCGGGCACAACGCCAAAAUGUCCCUGUUGUGUCCUGGCCCUGGGUCACGCGUGUCGCGCCUUGACAGCCGUGACCUUGAACGACCUUGACCGGCCGGGCCGGGCCGAGCGGCCGAGGGUCAGUAUCGUCCGAGCGGCGCUGGUGUCAACACAGCUGAGUGCCGCGAGGUGAGGUGAGGCGUGUUCGCCGAGACGGUCCGGCCACAGUGAAAUAGUGAAAUAGUGGUGUAAUCGAUAAUAUGCGUGGCCAGUACGCGAGUGAGAUUGACCCUGUGCGCGACACCGAUUCAGAGACGCACAUAAGUUAACACCGUCGUGUCGGAUCGCUCGUACCGGUGAUGGGAGACAACGAGCAGCUGGAGCGUCUGAUGGCGCUCAUGGUUCAGCAGUCAGCAGGCUGCCAUGCUGGAGUAGCUCCUCCCCAGCCAGAUGCAGCUACCAGCUGCGCAAACUGUCUAGAGCGGCCAACCGGCUGUCGUCGCCUCCACCGCUCUUAUGGCUAGACUUCGGUCUCACAUGGACUCCCGUCGGUAGUGUUCACAUGCCAGCCCAUACAUUUUACCUGUAUUAACUUUUUAAUGUCUGUGCCUGUGUAACUAUUGUACGUGCCGUGUUUGAAUUGUACAUCGUUCGCACAGUCUGUGGACCGUGGGGAGCGCCGCUUGACAUGCAUUUUUGCACUUACCUGCAUUCCGUGUUAAAAGUAAAGUAAAGGGACUGAGCUGUCGUGCACCGGGAGAUAUUAUGGUCUCUUGCUAAACGACACAGUUGAAACUCAGCACGCUGGUCGGUACUGACUGGGGCGGCAAGCGAAAGGGUUUGGGCAGCUUUUGAAACAAAAUGUUCGCAUCGAAUGACUGCAUCGCAUGU
rnacentral:lncRNA from 1 species